UGGGCUGCAAUUCGUAUCCUAAACCGCUUUUCAUGGCUUUUUGGUUUGAUUCUAAAGAAUAUUAUAGAAGUAUUGGUUUGAUGAUAAAGAUCUCAAUGACAGCUGCUUUCAUGGAAUCAUCAUCACAAGAUCCCAUAUUUAAGCGAUCAAAUUGCGUAAUGAGUUCGUCUCCGAUGAUUAGCCCUGUUACCGAUAUGCACUUUUAUGCUACCAUUCAAUUCAGUUAGCUUUGUUCUUUUCCUAAUUUAGGAAUCACUUAAAGAGAGAGAUGGAUUUCUCUGAAAGCUACUAAUUGAAUUCGUUACAUUUAUGUACAAAUCAUAAAGAG